UACGUAGGGGGCGAGCGUUGUCCGGAAUCAUUGGGCGUAAAGCGCGUGUAGGCGGCCCGGUAAGUCCGCUGUGAAAGUCCAGGGCUCAACCCUGGGAUGCCGGUGGAUACUGUCGGGCUCGAGUCCGGAAGAGGCGAGUGGAAUUCCUGGUGUAGCGGUGAAAUGCGCAGAUAUCAGGAGGAACACCAAUGGCGAAGGCAGCUCGCUGGGACGUGACUGACGCUGAGACGCGAAAGCGUGGGGGGCAAACAGG
rnacentral:rRNA from 1 species